CGGACGGGAGUGGCAGACGGGUGAGUAACACGUGGGAACAUACCCUUCGAUUCGGAACAACUCAGGGAAACUUGAGCUAAUACCGGAUACGCCCUUACGGGGAAAGAUUUAUCGUCGAAGGAUUGGCCCGCGUCUGAUUAGCUAGUUGGUGAGGUAACGGCUCACCAAGGCGACGAUCAGUAGCUGGUCUGAGAGGAUGAUCAGCCACACUGGGACUGAGAGACGGCCCAG
rnacentral:rRNA from 1 species